UACAGAGGUCUCAAGCGUUGUUCGGAUUCAUUGGGCGUAAAGGGUGCGUAGGCGGCGCGGUAAGUCGGGUGUGAAAUCUCGGAGCUUAACUCCGAAACUGCAUUCGAUACUGCCGUGCUUGAGGACUGGAGAGGAGACUGGAAUUCCUGGUGUAGCGGUGAAAUGCGCAGAUAUCAGGAGGAACACCGGUGGCGAAGGCAGGUCUCUGGGCCGAUACUGACGCUGAGGAGCGAAAGCGUGGGGAGCAAACAGG
rnacentral:rRNA from 1 species